rnacentral:rRNA from 1 species
AAUAUUGCACAAUGGGGGAACCCUGAUGCAGCAACGCCGCGUGAGCGAUGAAGGCCCUCGGGUCGUAAAGCCCUGGCCUAAGGGAAGAUAAUGACGGUACCUCCGGAGGAAGCCCCGGCUAACUAACUUCCAGCAGCCGCGGUAAUACGUAGGGGGCAAGCGUUAUCCGGAAUCAUUGGGCGUAAAGGGUGCGUAGGCUGCCCUAUAGGUCAGAGGUCAAAGGCUACGGCUCAACCGUAGUAAGCCUUUGAAACUGUAGGGCUUGAGUGCAGGAGAGGAGAGUGGAAUUCCUAGUGUAGCGGUGAAAUGCGUAGAUAUUAGGAGGAACACCAGUGGCGAAGGCGACUCUCUGGACUGCAACUGACGCUGAGGCACGAAAGCGUGGGUAGCGAACA